AUGUCAAUCCUAUUUGUGGUGAUGGAGAUAAAGAGACACAAUAUAGGAAUAUGUUUUCCCAACACCUUAUCGCAGAGAAUGACUUGGAAUGUAGGUCGGAUGUGGAUCAAUAUUUGUUGGAUGGGUGUGAAGCAAAUAUUAUAGAUUUUGACAUCUUAAAUUGGUGGAAGGUUAAUACACCAAAAUAUCCUACUCUCGCAGCCAUAGCUCGUGAUGUAUUGGCCAUCCCUAUUUCCACCGUUGCCUCUGAGUCUGCCUUUAGCAACGGAGGACGUGUAUUGGAUACCUUUAGGAGUUCAUUGUCUCCGCUUACCGUUGAGGCCUUGAUUUGCACACAAGACUGGUUGAAGAAUCGCCCAAUGAUCUAUGAGGAAGUGUUUCAGGACUUUAUGGAAAGCUAUGAUGAACCUGAUGGGCCUAAGAAUCAACAUUCUCAUUCAAUGACGACUGACACAUCUUAUUCCUAGAGGAAGGAUUUUGCUAGAAGACCGAAUAGGAGUCGUGUUGUUAUUUCCACAAGAUGGUUUUGUUCUUGAGUGUGGACUUAUGGACUGGAUAUGGUUUGAUAAUUGAUGGGUGUGGGUGUGUGGACUUUUGGACUAUUUGGA